rnacentral:lncRNA from 1 species
GAACAUCUUACUUUAAUCUUGCUCAAAUUUGACUUGAACCCUGCAUGAAUCAAACUUUAACCCUGCAUGAAUAUUAUUUUGACCCUGCUCAAAUCUUACUUUAACCCUGCUCAAAUCUUACUUUCACCCUGCUCAAAUCUGCACACAUGUUACUUACAGACAAAUAAUUACAAAUAAUUAUCUAAUUCAUUAUGUACUAUAUGAUCCAGACAUUAGUAUAGAAACUGAGACAGACAAACAGACAGAACUCAUAUGAGAGGAGACAGCAGUAGACAAGAUGGAGUAUCUUCAUUCUGGACAGUUACUCCUCAGUUACUAUACUGUUAAAGUUACUUUACUAGCACAGUUACUGUACUGUUAAUGUUACUUUACUAUACUACCAGCUAGCACAGGUCAACAACAGCUUGUCUGUCAGUUACUAGUUUGACAGCUGGGUGUUUCUGAAGAGAUCUUUCUUAUUUUUUGAAAGCUCCUUCCUCCUCUGACACCCAACUCCUCUCACUCACUCUAUCUAUCUCUCUCUCUCUCUCUCUCUCUCUCUCUAUCUCUCCAUGUCAGAGGUGGUGUUCAGGGGAUGGGCAUUUGCCUACACAUCCUCAUUUCUCUGUAGUGACCUCAGUGUCUCCAGGUCUAUAUGUGCUGCAGAGUGAAACUGGUUCAAUCAGGCCGGAGGUUAGACUUCUAAACCACCAGACAACUCAGCUUCCUGUAGGUGACUAAGUCUUAAAACUGUCAACUUCACUGUUCUAAAGUUACCAUGUCUAUUUCAGCAGACGAGGAACACAUUGUUGAGAUGAUGACAAUAUAUGCAUCAGGUAUACAUCACUAUAUUGUAUUAAAUUGAUCCACAUAUAUUUACUGUGAUUGAAAAAGUAUGCUCCAAAAUUGAUUUCCAAGUACAAAUGUUACAGAGACUAACACUUCGCUAACACUAUCCUGUCUCAGUGUGAAGUUAAUGGUGCCAUCAUUUUAGUUUGGGUCUGUUGUGUUUUGGGUUUGAAUGGUGAAGUCAUGGGUUGUUGUAUUGAGGGUUUGGUAGGUGGAGUCUUGGGUUGCUGUGUUGAGGGUUUGGUAGGUGGAGUCUUGGGUUGCUGUGUUGAGGGUUUGGUAGGUGGAGUCUUGGGUUGCUGGGUUGAGGGUUUGAUAGGUGGAGUCUUGGGUUGUUGUGUUGAGGGUUUGGUAGGUGGAGUCUUGGGUUGUUGUGUUGAGGGUUUGGUAGGUGGAGUCUUGGGUUGUUGUGUUGAGGGUUUGGUAGGUGGAGUCUUGGGUUGUUGUGUUGAGGGUUUGGUAGGUGGAGUCUUGGUUUGUUGUGUAGAGGGUUUGGUAGGUGGAGUCUUGGGUUGCUGUGUUGAGGGUUUGGUAGGUGGAGUCUUGAGUUGUUGUGUCUGGAUUGGUGACUGGU